rnacentral:rRNA from 1 species
GACAGAGGGUGCAAACGUUGUUCGGAAUUACUGGGCGUAAAGCGCGUGUAGGCGGCUAAGUAAGUCGGGCGUGAAAUCCCACGGCUCAACCGUGGAAGUGCACUCGAAACUGCAUAGCUAGAGUCCUGGAGAGGAAGGUGGAAUGCUUGGUGUAGAGGUGAAAUUCGUAGAUAUCGGGAGGAACACCAGUGGCGAAGGCGACUUCCUGGCCUGUUCUUGACGCUGGACGGCGACGAAAGGCUAGGGGAAGCAAGCGGG